AUUGAACGCUGGCGGCCGGCCUAACACAUGCAAGUCGCGCGAGCGGCGGACGGGUGAGUAAUGUAUGGGGACUGCCCGAUAUAGGGGGAUAACUCCUGGAAAAGGUGGCUAAUACCGCCUACUGUCGGAUAACCCAUAUGGGAUUAACUAGUAGGUAAGGUAAUGGCGUACCUAGGCGACGAUCCCUAGCUGGUCUGAGAGGAUGAUCAGCCACACUGGGACUGAGACACGGCCCAGACUCCUACGGAGGCAGCAGUGGGGAAUAUUGCACAAUGGGCGCAAGCCUGAUGCAGCCAUGCCGCGUGUAUGAAGAAGGCCCGAGGGUUGUAAAGUACUUUCAGUCGGGAGGCGUUACCGACAGAAGAAGCACCGGCUAACUCCGUGCCAGCAGCCGCGGUAAUAC
rnacentral:rRNA from 1 species